CGGACAGAGAGGCAGGGCCUGGGGGAGCCGAGCCCAGCCCCGGUGCCCCCCGGCCCCGGCGCCCAUCCAGGGAGGCUGCAGGGACUGGGCCCCGGCCAGAGCACGCCGUGAUCACGGACGCAGACCGGGCUGGGUUCAAGGAUGGGAGACCCGGAGGACGGUCCCCGGGAACACGGAGGCUUUCGGAUUUGGGGGCGUAGAGGGUGACAGGGCUCACGAGAGAGACUAUGAGUCAAGUCCAAGAAUCUUUAUUUCAUGAACAAAACUACUUGUGUGAAGAGAGAAGAGGCUGAAUGGGCCCUUCUAAGUGGCCACAGUCCAAGGCUGGUGAGAGAGGGCAGGGUUGGGCUGGGGCAAGAGUGCAUCACAGGGAGGGGGACCCCAGGUCCAGCCAGAGGAAGGAGGGCAAAUGUUGCUGGGGGUCGGAGUAGGUCCCAGAACCCCCUGCCCCAAACUGUGCCAGCCCAUCACGACCCCUGCCGGGCAGGGGAGGGGGGCAGGGGGAGGCUGGGCCCCAGUAGUGUGCAUCUGAAGCGGCCGAUGUGUGCAAAUCAGCAAGAAGGAGGGGUGCGGAGCCGCUGCCCCCACCUCACCGCCCCCCUCCUGAACAGGCAGCAGAAGCAGGGGCGGGGGCAGCGGCAAUAUUGCUUUACCCAUCAUGCAUGGCGUGGGUGGGCAAUGGGGCAGGAGGAAGUAGGCCGGAUUGGGGGUGUGAGCCAAGCCCCCUGCCCCCUCCCACCCAGGUGGUUCCGCUGGCAGGACUCUGAGGCUCGUAGAGGCCCAAGAAUGGCCAACCCCCAUUGGGGGCAGGCCGUGCCCAGAUGUUCCCCAUUAGGGCUGGCUCUUCCUUGAGAUGGAGCCCAGGGCCUAAAGAUGAGGGAGAGACAGGUAUCAGGGACCCAGUGGGCUGACACCCGCCCAGGCCCUCCGGCGCUGCCCACCCACCUCCUUACCAGGGCUAUUCGGCCACCUGGACACCCGUACAGUUCUCCUUGCUUUCUGAGGUGAUGGCCAGGUAUUCCGAGCUGUGGGGGCAAAGGCCGGGUGUACAGUGACCCUCCUCAGCAGUCUGGCCCACCCCCAGGAACCUGAGCAGGGCUGGGGUCUCUGCCCCAGACGCAUGGCGUUCUGGAGUUAGAGAGAGGAGGGGACUGCAGGCCGGACUCCUAGGGAUCCACAAGAAGUCCAGGCUGGGGCCUGGAGCCCUGAGUGUGAGGGAGGAGGGGACUGGGAGGGGGGUCAGACUCUGGGUCCUAACCUUACCCACCCAGGAUAACAAACAUAGCCCUCUGGGGAGCCUGGGUGUCUAGGUCACCUGACCCCCUCCCCACCGACCCCACUCACGCGUUCUCUUGUGCAGCAGCCUCCGUGGCCGCAGCGAUCUUCUUGUAGCAGUAAACCAUCUCUGCCACGAGCCAUAUGGUCAACACCACGAUGAGCACAUACAUCAUGAUCUCCGACACGAUGGACGCCAUGUCUCUGUUGGCUGCAAGGGCCAGGCAGGGUUAGGUGGCAAUCGGGGCCAGGGGCAGGCGGCGUGAAGUGCCCCGAACUUGCUUGGCCGAGUGGCCUGGCCUCUCUGGGCCUGGUCUGUCUGUGAAUAGGACCAUGCUGCUUCCCCAGAGUCAUUGGGUUGUUACUGUGAUUCUUUUUUUUUUUUUUUUUUUUCUAAGUAGGCUCCACACCCAGCGUGGAGCCCAGUGCAGGGCCUGAACUCACGACUCUGAGAUCAAGACCUGAGCUGAGAUCAAGAGUGGGACUCUUAACCAACCAAGCCAUGCAGGCAGGCGCCCCAUUACUGUGAUUCUUAUAACCAGCCUCCAGUGGGCAUUGGGACCCCCCUCAAUCUGCCUCCCUGUGUGGCUUGAGGGGGCAUCUGUGCCAUUCAGCUGACUGGAGGCGCCCAAGAGCUGUAGCUUUGCAACCAGAAGGCUCGGGUUUAGAUCCCGACUCUGCCACUUGCCGGCUGCGUAACCUUGGGCAAGUGACUCACCCUCUCUGGGUUUGAGUUUUCUCCAUCUGUGAAAAGCUGAUAACCACAGCAUCUCCUGGGGAGUGUUGUAACAAUUAAAUACACUUCAAAAAUCCUUA